CCUACGGGAGGCAGCAGUGAGGAAUAUUGGUCAAUGGUCGGGAGACUGAACCAGCCAACCCGCGUGAGGGAUGAAGGUACAGAGUAUCGUAAACCUCUUUUGUCAGGGAACAAAGGCGGGGACGUGUCCCCGGAUGAGUGUACCUGAAGAAAAAGCAUCGGCUAACUCCGUGCCAGCAGCCGCGGUAAUACGGAGGAUGCGAGCGUUAUCCGGAUUUAUGGGGUUUAAAGGGUGCGCAGGCGGUCUGUUAAGUCAGCGGUCAAAGCCCGGGGCUCAACCCCGGCCCGCCGUUGAAACUGGCAGUCUCGAGUUGGAGAGAAGUAUGCGGAAUGCGCGGUGUAGCGGUGAAAUGCAUAGAUAUCGCGCAGAACUCCGAUUGCGAAGGCAGCAUGCCGGCUCCACACUGACGCUGAGGCACGAAAGCGUGGGUAUCGAACAGGAUUAGAUACCCUGGUAGUC
rnacentral:rRNA from 1 species